rnacentral:rRNA from 1 species
GAUGAACGCUGGCGGCGUGCCUAAUACAUGCAAGUCGAGCGAACAGACGAGGAGCUUGCUCCUCUGACGUUAGCGGCGGACGGGUGAGUAACACGUGGAUAACCUACCUAUAAGACUGGGAUAACUUCGGGAAACCGGAGCUAAUACCGGAUAAUAUAUUGAACCGCAUGGUUCAAUAGUGAAAGACGGUUUUGCUGUCACUUAUAGAUGGAUCCGCGCCGCAUUAGCUAGUUGGUAAGGUAACGGCUUACCAAGGUAACGAUGCGUAGCCGACCUGAGAGGGUGAUCGGCCACACUGGAACUGAGACACGGUCCAGACUCCUACGGGAGGCAGCAGUAGGGAAUCUUCCGCAAAGGGCGAAAGCCUGACGGAGCAACGCCGCGUGAGUGAUGAAGGUCUUCGGAUCGUAAAACUCUGUUAUUAGGGAAGAACAAAUGUGUAAGUAACUAUGCACGUCUUGACGGUACCUAAUCAGAAAGCCACGGCUAACUACGUG